rnacentral:lncRNA from 1 species
CCACCUAACCCCACCAAACCCCAACCAAAUAUUAUUUUCUAUUCAUAAUAACCCACUAUCCUUCUUAUCUCAUUUACUUCAACCAAACAUUAUUUUCUAUUCAUAAUAACCCACUAUCCUUCUUAUCCCAUCUACUCCAACCAAAUACUAUUUUUUACUAUCCUGGAAUAACUCCAACCCCCAACCAAACACAAAAAUACUUUAACCCCACCUUGACCAUGAACUUAACCCUAUCCCUGGAAUAAUUAGUUUUUUCUUAACCCCGAACCAAAGGGUAGCAGGGUACUAAAGUGAUAAAGUGUGAAACCAUAGGGUGUUAAAGUGAUAAAGUGCGAAACCACAAGGUACUAACUUGAUACAUUUUAAACCACAGGGUACUAUAGUGAAAAAGUGCAAAACCACAAGGUACUAACUUGAUACACUUUAAACUACAGAGUACUAAAGUGAGAAAAAGUGAAACCACAAAGGGGGUAUUUGAAGUUUUCCCAUAGAUUUGAGAUAGUACAUAAUAGAAAAGGCAAAGUAUUAACAUUCAUUGAUGACUUGCACUUUGUAUUCAAAUCAAGUUUGGUACAAUAUCAAAUAUGCAUGUUGUCAUUAAAUAUGAUCUAGACCAUUUGAAAUGUUUAGAUAUCAAUAAAUAUAAUCUAGACCAUUUGAAAUGUUUAGAGACUGUAAACUAAACGAUUUGAUUCAACAAUGUUAAUGAUAGAGAGAAGGCAUUGAGGAUUAUAUGUUCAGCGUACUGAAAAAUAGUAAACUUUUAAAAAAAUUUUAAAAAAAAUUUGAGACUCACAUGAAGUAUUUAUUCAUUGAAAGUGGUAACUAAUAAUUUCAAAAGUUUAAGCCGAAGAAAAUGACACACCUAUCAUACUUAAAAUACAUAGAUGCACAGUGCUUACGAGCUCAAUUGUGAUUCGACCUAAUCUGGCCUUCGCCAUGAGACAAAUCGUUGAACCUAUUUCAGCCAACAAUAUCCUACAAAUAUUUACAAAAGCUCGAGCAUUUAAAAUU